rnacentral:rRNA from 1 species
CAGUCGCCGCGGGAAAACGUAGGUGGCAAGCGUUGUCCGGAAUUAUUGGGCGUAAAGGGCUCGCAGGCGGUUUCUUAAGUCUGAUGUGAAAGCCCCCGGCUCAACCGGGGAGGGUCAUUGGAAACUGGGAAACUUGAGUGCAGAAGAGGAGAGUGGAAUUCCACGUGUAGCGGUGAAAUGCGUAGAGAUGUGGAGGAACACCAGUGGCGAAGGCGACUCUCUGGUCUGUAACUGACGCUGAGGAGCGAGAGCGUGGGGAGCGAACAGGAUUAGAUACCCCAGUAGUCCCUGUCUCUUAUAA